CCAGUUUUGCUAUUUGCAAAUUUCUUUAAUAGAUACCAAACUUUGGUUGUAAUUAUCUAAACCAAUGUAACUGCAUGUCCCAAACCAGAUAAGCUAAUCAGUUCUUGAUAAUCAGUAAUCAAAAUUUUAGCUAUUAUUUAUUAAAAUAAACCAGUCAAACUACUUUAGCUGCAAGAACAAACUGUUUCAUAGCUGGUAACCGAACAUAUGUACUUAAAUUUAAUACAAUGUUGAUUAAAACAUUGUCAUGAAUUUAUUUAUAGAUAACACAAUCAAAGUCAUUAUUUGGACAUUCAUCAAUUUAUUUAUUUGUAGUAAACUUUUCUAGCAGCCAUUAAAUCAUCAUUUGAUUAAUAUUUGCCUAUGUCGAAUGUAUGAAGUUAAAAUAAAAAUGUAAGUAUUAUCACAAAACUGUUUAACAAUAUUUAAUUAAAAUAUUGUUAAAACUAGUUGGCACUGUUGGCAGCACUGCGUCCGAGUCAGUACAUUAAAGUUAUAUGCGAUUCACGUUAGAACUCGUUCUCUGCGUUCGGUCAUUAUUGUUUGGCUUGGCUGGUGAAGGCGGCAAAUCGAAUUGAUUUUCACAUUCCUAUUGUUUUCAGGAGAUUUGUAGCGACAUUAUGUAUAUAAAAAAAACUUAGUAAACGUGUUUUCGUAAUAAAUAGUGCAAUGGCAGACGGUCAAGACGAGACCUCCGCUGAUCCUAUGAGUGACUAUUUGCGCUUAUGGGGUCUUGAAAUGUACAUAAAUUUGUUCAAAGGUAUGUGAAUGUUUAAUUUUUAUUUAGUUCGUGUUAGUUUAAUGUUCAGUCGAACAAUCAUCAAAUAUUGGCGCGGUCAGAGAAGGUAUCGCAGAGGGCUGCCGGAUCGGGUAUCACGAAAGCGGCAGGGAAGCCCCGUAGUGUGUCUUGUCGCCAGUGGGCGAGGCGGGUCGCUUCAUUCAAAGUUCCAUUCGCGCCGCUUUCUACUGGAGACAAGGGUGCCCUGAAAGGGUCAGUCCAGAGGACUUAGAAUUUUUAAGAUAUUUUUCACAAUUGUUAUCAGUCUAGUUUUGGUUUGCAGUUAAGAUGAUAAUAAUUGUUAUGAUUAACCUCUGACCAUAAUAUCCAUGAUGAUAGCAUCCCUGCAUCAUUGCAUCAUCAAAUGCUGUGUGUAUCAAUAACUUGCCAAUCCUUACUGAUAGCACCAUACAUUACCUACUAGUAUAUUGCUGAAUCAGGACUUGAAAACUUACAGAACUUGGACAAAUAUACAGAAUGAGGAAGUACCAAACUUAAAUACAAAUGGAGUAUACAACACUUUGAGUUCAUGUAAUGAAGGAAAAGGACUACUUCUUCGCUACAAAGAAAACGGAAUGAAUUCCUGAAAGUUAGCCUCUCCCGGUGUGCACUGAAUUAUAUAAAAUGAAGAAAACAGACUAUGAUUGUAAUGGUAAAUUUUAAACUCAAGUAAUGUGUUUGACAUUAAUUUGGGCUAAGCAAUGUCUUAUUAAUAUUUGGUUAACUAUUCUUUAUUUUUAUUAGCCCUAUUUAUGUUUUAUAAUAUAUUGGUGUUUGAUUACCAGUUAUUAUACAAUGGAGAUACUACAGCGUUUGUAACUUAAAUUUAAUAAUCUGGAUUUUCUUGAGUGAAUGACAAGACAUUAAAUUGUGUUAUUUUAUUUUUUUGAACAUUUUAAAUAAAUAAUUCAAAAAAAUUACUUAUAUAA